AGGACAGAUCAGAACGAAGUGAAGUGGGGAAGAGAUAGGGGUGUCUGCAACGGCGCUGUAUGAUGGCGCAUUACCCACAAGGCUAUCGGUGCCGACUUCUUGUUUUGUUUCCUUUUCUUUUCGAACGAAAUAAUUCCAUGUUAUGUAUUUUGAGAAAGCCUCAUCAGCAUUCACACUCUGACUUUGAGUAACCUAGCCUUACAUUACAAAAGACCAGAGGUGUCAUGCACAUUCAAAGAUUUUUGAGCCAAGUGGAUUUUGAAUGCAGCUUCCAAAAGACAAAAAAUAGCCAAUUAUUAUUUUCUAUAUUUAUUACAAUCACGUGAUUAGAUCGUUCAGUGCAUCACAUCAGCUGCUAAAUUCAAAUCUGCGUUCGCUGGCUGGCACUGAGCCAGAUACAGACGCACAGCGCUGCGCAUUAUAACCAAUCACACACGAUUCUGUUGAGCUUAUGAAUGCAAUCCAGAUAGCAAGCACACUCGGGCCGAUUCUGGCUGAAAUGCGGCAUUGUCGGCUCAGUCACGACGUCUGUGAGAAGAUAAUGGGCCAGAGCCGCGCCGACUCUACAAAACACUUCUGGCUGACAGACGGCUUUUUCUCUUUGGGCCGAUCUCGGCUGAAAGCUGUUGUACGUGCGGCAGGUCCGCACUCGGUGUAGUUGCGUGAAUUUACCUUCGGCCCGAGCUGGUUUUGUCUCCGGCAGCUGCUAGAAUGAAGGAGAUCAGCCGCCGAGAGAAAGAUUUGGCGGUUAAUCCUGAGGAGAUUUCGGCGGGCACAGUUCUCAAGAGGAAUACUUCAGCUGCAAAAAGAAAUUCUGAGCUGCUGCAUGAACAUUCAUCAAACAUAUAAGGCUGCAAUUUGGAAAAAACUUUCAAGCUAAUGCUGCUGCAAUGGAGGUCAAGGGGACUAUGAAGAGGUGGCUCCAGCUGAUCAAAAGGGUGGACUUCAGGAGGCAGACACACUCUGAGUUUAAAAGACCCAUCUCUUUAACCUUCCAUACUCACGACACACUAUCACAUUUCUAUAAUUCAAAUCUCUUAAAGGAUUUUUAUGCUGCACCAAGUAGGGUAAGUAGCAACACUUCCUAUAAUAUGUAAUGUACAUGUUAAUUUGUAAGAAGAAUGACAUCAAUGCUUAUAUUAGUUGCUUAUAUACUGUCUCACCCUUAUCCCUAGGUUACAGUAAUCAGCUGAUCCAGUCGGUAUCCAGACCAGACGGUGGACCUGCACCCAGGAACGACCACAAAACAUCCCUGACUGUCAGCGGAGACCUUGUCAGCUAGAUGAUAGAUCCCUGUGAAGACCUCAUUGAUGGCCCCAGCACAGAUCCUCAGCAAAGACUACGAGAACCAGACAAGCCCUCUGCACAGACCCUUUCUACCAGCUUCACCUGCUGGUGUGAUGUUUCUUCAUGCAGAAGAAGUUGGAUGAAAUAUUCUGAAUGAUAUCAAUCCACAAUCUGACUUGUGAUGCAGCCUGGAAUAAUCACACCACGUUCUUUCGUUUGGCCAGACGAGACUGUUUCCUGACUGAGCCGGGUCUUGUUUGGGUUUGGGUUCCUUGUCACUGUUGCCGUUUGUCUUGCUUGGUUGAAGACACCUAAUAUUCAGCAAUAUUAUUGACUUGUCUGCACUGACACCAUUUGAUAAGAACUGAACUGAAUUAUGACACACAAUGUUUUAUAUAUGAA